rnacentral:rRNA from 1 species
GACGAACCGUGCGAACGUUGUUCGGAAUCACUGGGCUUAAAGGGCGCGUAGGCGGGCUAUCAAGUCCGGGGUGAAAUCCUCCAGCUCAACUGGAGAACUGCCUCGGAUACUGAUGGUCUCGAGGAGGAUAGGGGCACACGGAACUGUGGGUGGAGCGGUGAAAUGCGUUGGUAUCCAUAGGAACUCCGGUGGCGAAGGCGGUGUGCUGGAUCCUUUCUGACGCUGAGGCGCGAAAGCCAGGGGAGCAAACGGG